rnacentral:tRNA from 1 species
CUGCGAAUAGCAAACCUCGAAAAGCCCGCCCUUUCACGGCGGUAACAGGGGUUCGAUUCCCCUUGGGCGUACCA